CGAUGGGUAAAUAUUUGUUAAUCCUCCUCCGUGCGUCACGAUCCUCAGUGCUGAGGGUCGUGACCUUUACGGAGCAGUUUUGUUGGGUCUAUGUUCCUCA